rnacentral:lncRNA from 1 species
GGGGGGCUCUGCGGUCCCUCCCAGGGGUUUGCCCCGCGACAGACACCGGGCACCAUCCGCUAUAUUCCCUUUUCCAGCUCUCUUCUUUCCCUUCUGUUUCACCUUGCUCCUCUCUUCUUCUUUCCCUUCCUCUUUCAUUCCCUCUUUUCGCCUCUUCCCAAACCCUGUUUUCGCAUCCCCGUCUCACUCCUACCCAAUAUCUUUCUCCUUUCGGUUUCUGUCCCUCCCUUCUAUCACUAUCAUUCUUGUCCCCCUUCUUUCUCUUUCCUCCUUGCCCUUCCCUCUUCUUUCCUCUCUCCUUCCUCCCCCUCUUCUUAUCUGUCCCAUUGUACCCUUUCCCACAUCUCUGUCUUUCACCACUUCUCUUCCCUCUCUCACCCUCUCAUUCCCUUUCCUCUUUCCUCUCUUUCCCUCUCUCCUCUUUCUCUCCCUCUUUUCCCUUUCUAUCCUUCAUCUCUAUCUCUAUCUUCCCCUUUUCCCUUGCCCCUUGUUCCCUUUCCUCUUUCCUCUCUCCUUUUUCUCUUUUCCCCUUCUGUCUUUCAUCUCUUUCUCCCUUUCCCUUUUCUCUUUGCUCUCUUUCCCUCUCUCCUCUUUCUCUCUUCUCCCUUUUCAUCUUUCAUCUCUACCUGUCUCCCUUUCCCUCUCUCCCAUUCCCUGGUUUCCCACUGGAUGGACAGGCUGUCAGGUGUCUGGAUCUUGUUAAGGAGGAGGGACUGGAGCAGGGUGCUACCUGGGGUGUCCCCCGGGAGGGGGGGUAAUAGAGUGGAAUGGGACUUGGGCUCCUCGUUCUUCCUCUUCUGUCUUUCCCCGCCUGAACCAUUCCUGUCUGUCCCCAUUUCCCCAGACUCUGAAGUUCUCUCUUGUCCUGGUCUAACCCGGCUCUUAGGGAUCUCCCCAGUCACCACUACCUGCAGUUUCUUCUCUGCUCCCAUACUGACUCUUCACUGGGGUCUAGCUCUCUGGAUCUGUGCUUUUUCUGUAUCUCUGUAUCUCUGUCUUUCAGUCACUCUCUGUCUCCCUCCAUUGAUCUCUUUCUACCACUAUCAUUCAAGUGUUCUCGCUUUCUUCCAUCUCCCUCGCUUAUCUUUAUGUCUCUCUCAGUGGCUCUUCUCUUCCCCAUUCCCCUCUUUUCCUAUCCCUGGCCCCCAGCUCUGCCUCACUCCCCACCAGUCCCUUUGCUUAGCUGCAAGGGGUAUCACUGCUGUGCAG